AGAGCGAACGCUGGCGGCAGGCCUAACACAUGCAAGUCGAACGGACUCUUCGGAGUUAGUGGCGGACGGGUGAGUAACACGUGGGAACGUGCCUUUAGGUUCGGAAUAGCUCCUGGAAACGGGUGGUAAUACCGAAUGUGCCCUUCGGGGGAAAGAUUUAUCGCCUUUAGAGCGGCCCGCGUCUGAUUAGCUUGUUGGUGAGGUAAUGGCUCACCGAAGGCUACGAUCAGUAGCUGGUCUGAGAGGAUGACCAGCCACAGUUGGGACUGAGACACGGACCCAAACUCCGUACGGGAGCAGCAGGUGGGGAAUCGUU
rnacentral:rRNA from 1 species